AUGUCAGGUCCAACUUCCUUGGCAGCAGGAGCGGCAGAAAGAGAGACCCAUGCCUGCCCACCCUGCUCCCUUGUGGAGGUGACUCGGGGCACCCAGAUCCUUGCCACUACACUGCAGAGCAAGGGCCUUGUCUUGGAAAGAAUAAAUCUUCAGCUCCUUGUGAAUGAAGCUGCAGGCCUGCUGACGGUGCUUGAAUUUGUGAUGUGCCUGGGACACACAGGCAGACAAGGAGAGGCACUGAGGGAGAAUCUCAGCUUCAUGGAGGCAUCAGUGUUAAUGACCUGGAAUGAACCAGACCAUCCCAAACCCUUGCCCCAGACUUUGCAGACAGAGCAGCAGCAGGGACAAAGCUGCAGUGGUACAAGGGUGGCCACCUGGUGCCAGCCUCCCUCCUGACACCCAGCCACGUCCCUGCGAGAAGAGGAGUUUUCCUGGCAUGAAGUGGGUAUCAGAGUGCAGCUGGCUGGAUUGCUUUGCACAUCAUUUUUUCCAAAAUGGUCUUUGACAGCAAGAGCUGCGUGCAUUAAGCUUGCAUGCGUGGGCAGCGCUUUCCUGCUAAUGCAUGGUUGGAGAACUAGGUCUAAUCAAAUUCAACAUUAAAAACUCAUUUAUUGGGGUACAGAUAGUUAGUCUUGUUAACGAAGGAGGCAACUGUUUGUCAAAGAAGUACCAUAACUUUUUGGAAUUUCCAGUAUACAUAAAGACAAAGAGUAUGACACAGCAAAGUCUCUGCUGCUUUGGCUUUUAAGUAGAAUCUCCUUAGAGGAUAGGUUAUAAAACUUCUACAAGUAGUUUAUGUUAUCUUUAGAGACUGCUUGCACUCUUCUGUUGUUUACAUCAAUCUUUGAGUGAAAGUUAUUUAGCCUUGGUAAUUUAGCCAAGUGAUUUUUAUGCUCUUUGUGGUGCCACUUCACUGCACAAUGGGGAUGUUUCUGACCCUUUUAUGUGCACAUUUGAGGCCUGACUAUAUACUGUGAGGAGUCUUGAUUUUUCUAAAAAUACCAAUCUCAUAUACCUAAUAUGCUGUGUUUAAAACAGUAGAUGUGAACAAGCCUCUCUUCCCCCUCCUUAAUGUCACCUCUUGCUCACCAUGUUAAGAUGCCUGAAGACUGUUGCUGUAUUUUUCCCCUCUCAUUGUGAAACUUUUAUGUCUGAAACUGAAAUAAAACCUGACUCAGGUUUGUGGGUAAAAAAAUU
rnacentral:lncRNA from 1 species